GAGAGGAUUAGGGAGAGAAUCUUGGAAAAUGUCUGUCAUUCAUUUCUCAUGCCUUUCUGUUCCUAUGAUCAGGGAAUAUAAAGACAAACUCUACUUCCUUCCUAUUGCCAGCGUGACACUCCACACCUGGCCAUUCUUUCCAACUUCUUCUUCUUUAAAAAGACUGCACAAAACGCAGUCGUUUGGGUUACAAUCAGUUUAAAUCGAUCCCGCUUCCCUCUAUGUUUCUUUUGUUUCCAGCUAUGACAAUGCCCCCUCCAUGACCAUAACCUUGUCCUCAAGGUAAAAUUCAGGAAACCUCAAGCACAAUUCAUCAGCAUAUUCCCAGGUUGUUUCUGUCAAGGGUAAGUUCUUCCAUAAAACCAAGAACGGAAUAGCUGCAGCAUUCCCUCUUUUGACCAUUCUUCUAUCGACAAUUUGUUGUGGUUGCAAAAGAGAUCUAUUUGUAGGAGUAGGAAGAUCAGAGUGGAUAGUCUGAUUGCCUACAUGCUUCUUCAGCUGAGAAACAUGAAAGACAAGAUGGAUUGCUGCUGUUGCAGUCGUAUCUCAAAGACUCUGACCUCGAAGACUGAAGGAAGCCAUUGAAUGGUUAUUUGAAGCUUAUGCAGAAUAGUGUUUGUCAGGAAAGCUUUAUAAAUAGUGGCAUCUUGUUCCUUAUCUCAGCCUGCCCAUUGGAUUAUCGGAUCAGAUUCAACAAGCGAUGUUCCAUGGCUUGAGAAGAACAGGGAAAGCAGGUCGUGGAGAAUGCAGAACAUCUUCAACUCCAUCAGCAAGUUGAAAAGGGUAACAAAAAUUUGGCGGCAGGUACUGUAGAUAAAAUAGAGUCAGGUUGAGGUUAGAUCCUGGAAGGCAAAACAAAAAUUAUAGACUGUUAUCAACCGAGUUGAGAAAAAGAAUUGUUGAUGAUUUUAACAUCUUUAAAGCGACCCCUUCGUCUACAAA